rnacentral:rRNA from 1 species
CCUGAUGCAGCGACGCCGCGUGAGGGAUGACGGCCUUCGGGUUGUAAACCUCUUUCGCCAGGGACGAAGCGCAAGUGACGGUACCUGGAUAAGAAGCACCGGCUAACUACGUGCCAGCAGCCGCGGUAAUACGUAGGGUGCGAGCGUUGUCCGGAUUUAUUGGGCGUAAAGAGCUCGUAGGCGGUUUGUCGCGUCGGCUGUGAAAUCUGGAGGCUUAACCUUCAGCGUGCAGUCGAUACGGGCAGACUUGAGUUCGGUAGGGGAGACUGGAAUUCCUGGUGUAGCGGUGAAAUGCGCAGAUAUCAGGAGGAACACCGGUGGCGAAGGCGGGUCUCUGGGCCGAUACUGACGCUGAGGAGCGAAAGCGUGGGGAGCGAACAGGAUUAGAUACCCUGGUAGUCCACGCUGUAAACGGUGGGUGCUAGGUGUGGGCGACAUUCCACGUUGUCCGUGCCGUAGCUAACGCAUUAAGCACCCCGCCUGGGGAGUACGGCCGCAAGGCUAAAACUCAAAGGAAUUGACGGGGGCCCGCACAAGCGGCGGAGCAUGUGGAUUAAUUCGAUGCAACGCGAAGAACCUUACCUGGGCUUGACAUGCGCCAGACAUCCCCAGAGAUGGGGCUUCCCUUGUG